UACGAAGGGGGCUAGCGUUGCUCGGAAUCACUGGGCGUAAAGCGCACGUAGGCGGCUUGUUAAGUCAGGGGUGAAAUCCUGGAGCUCAACUCCAGAACUGCCUUUGAUACUGGCGAUCUUGAGUCCGGGAGAGGUGAGUGGAACUGCGAGUGUAGAGGUGAAAUUCGUAGAUAUUCGCAAGAACACCAGUGGCGAAGGCGGCUCACUGGCCCGGUACUGACGCUGAGGAGCGAAAGCGUGGGUAGCAAACAGG
rnacentral:rRNA from 1 species